rnacentral:rRNA from 1 species
UGGGCAACCUGCCCUCAGCUCUGGGAUAAACCCCGGGAAACCGGGGCUAAUACCGGAUACGACCUCCGCGGGCAUCUGCGGAGGUGGAAAGGUUUUCCGGCUGAGGAUGGGCCCGCGGCCUAUCAGCUAGUUGGUGGGGUGAUGGCCCACCAAGGCGACGACGGGUAGCCGGCCUGAGAGGGCGACCGGCCACACUGGGACUGAGACACGGCCCAGACUCCUACGGGAGGCA